rnacentral:rRNA from 1 species
CAGCAGCCGCGGUAAAACGUAGGGUGCGAGCGUUAAUCGGAAUUACUGGGCGUAAAGCGUGCGCAGGCGGUUCGUUAAGACAGAUGUGAAAUCCCCGGGCUUAACCUGGGAACUGCAUUUGUGACUGGCGAGCUAGGGUAUGGCAGAGGGGGGUAGAAUUCCACGUGUAGCAGUGAAAUGCGUAGAGAUGUGGAGGAAUACCGAUGGCGAAGGCAGCCAUCUGGGACAACACUGACGCUGAGGCACGAAAGCGUGGGGAGCAAACAGGAUUAGAUACCCCGGUAGUCCCUGUCUCUUAUAC